rnacentral:tRNA from 3 species
AGACCCGUAGCUCAGUCUUGGUUAGAGCGCCGCAUUGACAUUGCGGAGGUCGAUGGUUCGAGUCCAUUCGGGUCUACCA